AAAGAAAUAUUUUAAAAAAGCUUCUAACUUUUAUUUAAGCACUAAUUAUGUUUAU
rnacentral:tRNA from 1 species